rnacentral:rRNA from 1 species
GACGAGCGCUGGCGGCGUGCCUAAUACAUGCAAGUCGAGCGAAUCAAUAGGAGCUUGCUCCUGUUGGUUAGCGGCGGACGGGUGAGUAACACGUGGGCAACCUGCCUGUAAGACUGGGAUAACACCGGGAAACCGGUGCUAAUACCGGAUAUCCUUUUCCUCUCAUGAGGAAAAGCUGAAAGUUGGUUUCGGCUGACACUUACAGAUGGUCCCGCGGCGCAUUAGCUAGUUGGUGAGGUAACGGCUCACCAAGGCGACGAUGCGUAGCCGACCUGAGAGGGUGAUCGGCCACACUGGGACUGAGACACGGCCCAGACUCCUACGGGAGGCAGCAGUAGGGAAUCUUCCACAAUGGACGAAAGUCUGAUGGAGCAACGCCGCGUGAGCGAUGAAGGCCUUCGGGUCGUAAAGCUCUGUUGUUAGGGAAGAACAAGUACCGGAGUAACUGCCGGUACCUUGACGGUACCUAACCAGAAAGCCACGGCUAACUACGUGCCAGCAGCCGCGGUAAAAC